AGACCUGUAUCUUUCUGAAACUCUACUUAAUUUAUUCUUAAGGUCUACAAGUCUCCUCUUUUGCAACCCAGAACUCAUGGCUCAGUAUGAGUUUUUAUACAGAUUAGAAAGAACAAG